GACGGCCGGUAUCGGGUUGUAAACCUCUUUCAGCACGGAAGAAGCGAAAGUGACAGGUACGUGCAGAAAGAAGCGCCGGCUAACUACGUGCCAGCAGCCGCGGUAAUACGUAGGGCGCAAGCGUUGUCCGGAAUUAUUAGGGCGUAAAGAGCUCGUAGGCGGUUUGUCGCGUCUGCUGUGAAAGACCCGAGGGCUUAACCCCGGGUGUGCAGUGGGUACGGGCAGACUUGAGUGCAGUAGGGGGAGACUGGAACUCCUGGUGUAGCGGUGAAAUGCGCAGAUAUCAGGAAGAACACCGAUGGCGAAGGCAGGUCUCUGGGCUGUUACUGACGCUGAGGAGCGAAAGCAGGGGAGCGAACAGGAUUAGAUACCCUGGUAGUCCAUGCCGUAAACGUUGGGCACUAGGUGUGGGGGACAUUCCACGUUUUCCGCGCCGUAGCUAACGCAUUAAGUGCCCCGCCUGGGGAGUACGGCCGCAAGGCUAAAACUCAAAGGAAUUGACGGGGGCCCGCACAAGCGGCGGAGCAUGCGGAUUAAUUCGAUGCAACGCGAAGAACUUACCAAGGCUUGACAUACACCGGAUCGGCUCAGAGAUGGGUUUUCCUCCUUGUGGGGCUGGUGUACAGGUGGUGCAUGGUUGUCGUCAGCUCGUGUCGUGAGAUGUUGGGUUAAGUCCCGCAACGAGCGCAACCCUCGUUCUAUGUUGCCAGCACGUGAUGGUGGGGACUCAUAGGAGACUGCCGGGGUCAACUCGGAGGAAGGUGGGAUGACGUCAAAUCAUCAUGCCCCUUAUGUCUUGGGCUUCACGCAUGCUACAAUGGCCAGUACAAUGGGUUGCGAUACCGUGAGGUGGAAGCUAAUCCCAAAAAGCUG
rnacentral:rRNA from 1 species